UGUCUUGUAUAUGAUGACUGCACUUUUUUCCCCAUCAGAUCGACCGUGUUGAUCUCACUACACUACACUACA